CCUACGGGGGGCAGCAGUGGGGAAUAUUGGACAAUGGGGGCAACCCUGAUCCAGCCAUGCCGCGUGUGUGAAGAAGGCCCUCGGGUUGUAAAGCACUUUCAGUGAGGAAGAACGCCUGGUGGUUAAUACCCAUCAGGAAAGACAUCACUCACAGAAGAAGCACCAGCUAACUCCGUGCCAGCAGCCGCGGUAAUACGGAGGGUGCGAGCGUUAAUCGGAAUUACUGGGCGUAAAGCGCGCGUAGGUGGCUUGAUAAGCCGGUUGUGAAAGCCCCGGGCUCAACCUGGGAACGGCAUCCGGAACUGUCAAGCUAGAGUGCAGGAGAGGAAGGUAGAAUUCCCGGUGUAGCGGUGAAAUGCGUAGAGAUCGGGAGGAAUACCAGUGGCGAAGGCGGCCUUCUGGACUGACACUGACACUGAGGUGCGAAAGCGUGGGUAGCAAACAGGAUUAGAUACCCUUGUAGUC
rnacentral:rRNA from 1 species